CAGGCAGAGGAGGCGCUGAGAGCGAGCAAGGGCUCUGAGGACUGUCAGCACGCUGUCACCUCUCACUAUUGUGAGACUUCACGUUGUGAUGCAAUCUAUCUAACAGCCUGUGGAUGAGGUCAAAGGAAAGAGGGAAGAAAGGAGAAAGGGGAGAAGGAAAGAACUUGAGGCUUUGAUGACCGUUGGAAUGCAGAGAAGCUAUGAGAAAAGAGCUACAAGAGAAAAAUGGCAGCAUUGCAAAGUGCAAGAACACUGAAGGGAUUAAACAGCAUUCUAGAAAACAAGACAGACCAUGAAGAGUAUGGGAAGAAACAGGAAGGCCUAUUUCCCGGUACCAUACCCAGAAGCUGUAUAAUAGGGACAACUUGCAGGCUGAGGUGCUCUCUGUGUCCUGACAUGUCAGAUUUGGGAAAUGAGUGAAGCAGAUUUACAGAUUUGCUUACUUUGGUUAAAGAACUUUACAUGUACUUCUAUCAAAACCUGAAUAUUGGCUGGGCAUGGUGGCAC
rnacentral:lncRNA from 1 species